UAACAUAUUUUGCCUAAAUUAUCGAUGACGACCUGAGUAUGUACGCAAUGAAAGUGGCGAUGUCCAGAAUAAUAAAGCUCCUAAGGCUCAACAAGUGGCCUGUAAAUUUCCGUUGAGGUACCGUCAAUUGCACCCACUGCCAUUGGGAGUUUUUCCCAGUUUCCCAUCUUUGCUGUCCACUCAUUAAGAGAUGGCCAACGUACCAGAUGAUGAAAAUGUUGGUAAAACACGGGAAUGCACCGAUUUAUUUCCUCAUGUAUUGUGGUAACGCUUACGUCAAAAAUUAAGGUAAGCAUGUGGUAACACGGAUAUGAUCUUAGCCAAAGCAUGAACAACAUAACUCUAUUUCUCGGGGAAAGUUUGUAUGGCUCAGUCCAUUCUGAAAACAUAAUUUCCAAUUUGUCUCAAAAUGUCUAAAAGUGUUUCGGGUGUUUCACCAGUUGUUUGAUAAAAAGAGUAUCUAUGACGUGAAAAUAUUUGAAAAACAUCGUUUCUCUCCCAAGUGUCUACGGCCUCAU
rnacentral:lncRNA from 1 species